rnacentral:lncRNA from 8 species
UUGCUAGCUAGCUGCAUUCAGCAGUUUUGACUUGUUAGCUCGAUAGGUAUGGGUGGGUGUUCCGCUCCAAAUUGCUCAAACUCAACAACCAUUGGGAAACAACUAUUUCGUUUUCCAAAAGAGCCUAUACGCAAGAAUAAAUGGCUUGUAAACUGCCGGCGUAAUUUUGUACCAACUCCACAUUCCAGACUGUGCCAGGACCAUUUUGAGCUGAGUCAGUUUGAAGAAAUAGCCAGGUCGCCAGCAGGGGGAAAGAAGCUGAAACCAAAUGCUAUCCCUACUCUUUUCAGUGUGCAAAAUCCACCUUAUCCAAUCACCCCACAGAUAGUGCUACCUUUCAAACCAGAGCCAGUAGAGAGAGAUCUGAAUGUGGGGGAUCAUGGCUAUGCACGGCGGCAACCAACUCUGGGCAUGGAGGAAGAUGCUGAUGAACUACACAAGGCAGAGGAACGCCCCUGUACCCAUUGUCAGCCUUACAAAACCCUGCUGGAACAAGAAAUGCAACACACUGCCAGACUUCAGAAAGAGGCUGAGGAAAUGAAGAAGAGGAUGUUCAAACUGGACAGAAUAGAGAGGGGCCUCCAGACAUUUCUGUAUGAAGACCAGAUCCGUGCCCUGACCCUGACCAAGCGUUCCCGGAGAGCUGUGUGGUCCCAUGAGACAGUGCUGAAGGCUCGUAAAAUCCGAUGUGCAGUCGGUGCCAAGGGUUACGAAUUCCUUCGGGAGUUAGGCUACCCUUUGCCCUCUUAUAGAACUUUAUGCAACCGCCUGGAGGAAAAAAUCAUGGUGACGACAGCCAUGGGCUGUGAUGAGCUUGCAGAGCUUGGUCUAGGAAUCAUAUCUACAUGUGACAGUCCAGAGGGAGAUGGGGACAAUGAGGAGGCUUUCAUUGGAGUGAUGUCAUGACUCAUGAAAGAGAGAAUUUUGAUCAAUUUGUUUGAAUAUGUGUUUCAUUUUGAAGAAUGCAACGCAAAAUGACAGGACAAUAUAGCAAAGACUGACGACAGCUAGUAGGCCUAUGCGGUGAAGAAAAUGUGGAAGCAUAUGCACAUGAGAGAGAGUGUUAAAGCGUUCUUGCUUCUGGACUUGGUUUCACAUAAUUGUUUUUUUUAGAAUGGUUUACUCAUGCUAAAGAAUUUGGUGUUUAUUUUGGGAAUGAAACAUAAGCUCCUUCAAAACAAUAAAGAGCAGCAGUCAUCUGCCUUAAAGCGGCAAUCGGCAGUAGAAACAAUAACAAAGCGUCCUCCCCACACCUGAAUCAGUAAAAAGCUGAGGAAUGGGGCUGGAGAAAUUUAAUCACUCAAUUUCAUAGACCUAUGGAUGCAAGGAUUGACCAUCCAUGAUAUCAAAAUUAUAGUUUUAACAAUGUUUUGAGGCUAUAUAGUGUUUGUUACAUUUUCUUUGUCUACAAACAUUGGAGUAAAACAAGCAUAUAUUUGGAGUUCUAAUGGGGUACGACAGUUGAACUAAGUUCAUGAGGCAUUUAUAAGUUAUAUUCUUCAAGAAUAAAGUCCAAAAAUGGAUGUAGCAACUACUGAUUGCUCCUUUAAGCUUUGAAGCUGCAAUUUCAAACCACCUUUCUGUGCUCAAUGUGAGGUCAUAAUUCAGAAGCUACGCUAAAUCAUUUGCUGUACACCUGUUUUCUUCAGCUGUGAAUGUUUGACAAAUGCAAAGGAAGAGCAGAAUUUUAACCCCUGUUUGCAGAGUUUUUAGUUGCCCUUCAUUGUCCCUUAUGUUAAGUGGACAAAUUGGAGGAUUCGUUGUAUUUUGUAAUGGGAAUCAGUUUAGCUGCAUUUGGAAACUGCAAUGCAGUAUAGAGCUUUUGGAGAACUGUGUUAGCUGCAUUGUAUACUGGCUGUGCCCCCUGAACUUAGGCUGAAUAACCUGAGGCCUCUUGUGUUAAUCACUAAUGAGAUAUUAGCCAGCAAGCAGAACCUCUGGGUGGGAGGAGGUUUGUAGAAAACUCACUAAAGAGGCAGGAGAGUAUACAGUACCCUGAUCAAAACAAUGGUACUGUAAAAGAAUAAAGAAAUCUAUCAAGUAGGGCUGGGAAUUGCCAGGGACCUCAUGAUACAAUAUUAUCACAAUACUUUGGUGCCGAUACGAUAUCUAUUGCGAUUCGAUGUUUGGUAUUUUAUUAGGAUCCCUUUAGAUGUUACAGCAGAUACUCUUCCUGGGGUCAACACAAAACAUGAAACGUGACAUAAUACAGAACAUUAAUAGACAAGAACAGCUCAAGGACAGAACUACAUCAGUUUAAAAAAAAAAAGGCAUACGUAGCCUACAUAUCAAUACAUACACACAAACUAUCUAGGUCAAACAGGUGUUGCUUUAUCCGUUUUUUUUUUUAGAUUUGCUGUUUAUUUGAGCAAUAUGAGAUGGAACGGAGCUCCAUGCAAUAAUGGCUCUAUAUAAUACUGUACGCUCUCUUGAAUUUGUUCUGGAUUUGGGGACUGUGAAAAGACCUCUGGUGGCAUGUCUGGUGGGGUAAGUGUGUGUGUCAGAGCUGUCUGUAAGUUGACUUUGCAAACAAUUUGGGAUUUUUAACAAAUCAAUGUUUCUUAUAAAAAGAAGUGAUGCAGUCAGUCUCCUCAACUCUUAGUCAAGCGUUCCAAACAUAUUGCUCAUAUGUCUUCUGCAAAGGGACAAGAAAGAGCCUUGAGAAAACAAGUUUUGAUCAGUCAUGGAAAUAAAGUGCUUAAAACAAAUUGUUUAAAAAGAAGAUGGAGAACAAGCUAUGAAGAAGAAAUAGAGUUUUGGUGCAGGUACAGUCAACCAGGGGAAAUAUAAUAUUUAGAUAUUGUCAAAAUGAUACAUGGUCAAAAAAAUAUACCAAUAUGUAACUCGAUUUUUUUUCUUUUACCCCCAUCACUACUAUCAAGUAGGCUGCCUAUGUUUGUGGCUUUUGUUUUUUGUGAUGUUGAAGUGUUCACUUUUAUCAACAGUGUGAAACAUUGUUUUGCAAAGGAGACCACACCUUACUCAUAGUACUAUAACUAUACUGAACAAAAAUAUAAACGCAACAUGUAAAGUGUUGGUCCCAUGUUUCAUGAACUGAAAUUAAAGAUCCCAGAAAUUUUCCAUACGCACAAAAAGCUUCUUCCUCUCAAAUUUUGUGCACAAAUUUGUUUAGAUCCGUGUUAUUGAGCAUUUCUCCUUUGCCCAGAUAAUCCAUCCACCUGACAUGUGUGACAUCAAGAAGCUGAUUAAACAGCAUGAUCAUUACACAGGUGCACCUUGCGCUGGGGACAAUAAAAGGCCGCUCUAAAAUGUGCAGUUUUGUCACACAGAUGCCACAGAUGUCUCAAGUUUUGAGGGAGCAUCCAAUUGGCAUGCUGACUGCAGGAAUGUCCACCAGAGCUGCUGCCAGAUAAUUGAAUGUUCAUUUCUCUACCGUAAGCUGCCUCCAACGUCGUUUUAGAGAAUUUGACAGUACGUCCAACCGGCCUCACAACCGCAGAUCACGUCUAACCACGCCAGCCCAGGAUGCCACAUACGGCUUCUUCACCUGCGGGAUCGUCUGAGACCAGCCACACGGACAGCUGAUGAAACUGAGUAGUUCUGUCUAAUGAAGCCCUUUUGUGGGGUAAAACUCCUUCUGAUUGGUUGGCUCCUAAGUGGGUGGGCCUAUGCCCUCCCAGGCCCACCCAUGGCUGAGCCCCUGUCCAGUUAUGUGAAAUCCAUAGAUUAGGGCCUAAUGAAUUUAUUUAAAUUGACUGAUUUCCUUGUAUGAACUGUAACUCAGUAACUGCAUGUUGCAUUGAUAUUUUUGUUCAGUAUAGAUACUAAGAAACUGAUUCAUGAAACAGGAACUAUUCUGUUCACAUAUUUAUUAUAUUUGGAUUAGUAUUAAUAUCUAUAGCGCUCCUCUGGAAUGUUGUGACCUUUGAAAAGCCAUGCCCAUCACCCUGUAGAUUUACUUUUAGCCUGUACUGUACUUUGACCUAAUCAUUCAGGGUAGAAAGAGCAUUGCUGUUUAUGUGGUCAAAAUCAAUUGCAGUGUUUUUCCAAAAUUCUGAGAGCCAAAAGAGGGGUAGAAAAGACGUUUCUGAUUUUUGUUACUCCAAAUAUGAAAAUACCAUUGGUGCUGAAGUUAUUUGGAGUUCUCAGAAUCAGAAUCAUACAUGCUACUUGUAGACGUGUUUGUAUGUCACGCAUUUAUUCUACUCCCACACAGUUGGACCCCUGACCCACUUCUUGGUAAACCUUGCUAAAUUGUGAUCAAUGAUUCCUCAUUGUGGAGUAUAUAUACAAUGUUUGAUAAUGUUGUUUUUGAAGAUUUGCACAACCCUUUUCAUUCUAUAGUUUUCCUGUUUUGGCAUUAUUUGUCAGCCAUCACACACAGUAUAUGAGCAUGGCAUUCCAGCAUGGAGUGAGCAUGGAAUCAGCAUGGAAUCAGCAUGGAGUGAGCAUGGAAUCAGCAUGGAAUCAGCAUGGAGUGAGCAUGGAGUGAGCAUGGAAUCAGCAUGGAGUGAGCAUGGAGUGAGCAUGGAAUCAGCAUGGAAUGAGCAUGGCAUUCCAUGCUCAUUCCAUGCUCAUUCCAUGCUCAUAUACUGUGUGUGAUGGCUGACAAAUAAUUCCAAAACAGGAAAACUAUAGAACGAAAAGGGUUGUGUAAAUCUUCAAAAACAACAUUAACAUACUGAUUGUAUAUAUACUCCACAAUGAGGAGUCAGCAUGGAAAGAGCAUGGAAUGAGCAUGGAAAGAGCAUGGAAUGAGCAUAGAAUCAGCAUGGAAUGAGCAUAGAAUCAGCAUGGAAUGAGCAUGGAAUGAGCAUAGAAUCAGCAUGGAAUGAGCAUAGAAUCAGCAUGGAAUGAGCAUGGAAUCAGCAUGGAAUCAGCAUGGAAUUCAGUGCCUUGGAUCUGGUGUCUAUAACAUUUAUUAGAAUACAAUACCAUUUCAAGAAUUUACAUUAUCCAAAAAUGUAGCCUCAUAGAGAAGAAAACAUAUCUGGAAUUGACAGGUUAGUGUUGGGUUUCACAACCCUCUUACCCUAAAGUAAACACAGUGGCUUACUCUGUUUGUUUUUGGGGGUAGUGCUUACCUGAGAUAAGGGCUUAAAAACAGCAGCGUAACAUUGUAUUGCUUAGUUGUGCGAAGCAGAAGAGAGGCUCAACGAGGACAGAGGUCAGUCCAG